GGGGACCAGGGGCCAGCUCUGAAGUACAUGACGGCUCCUGAGGCUAGCGCUGAAGAAGGAGCCUCGCUGCCCGGAUCCUGCUUGCUUGCUGCCCUCUGCUGCCGUGUCGAGAGUGAGGAGGAAGGAGGAGCUGGGAAAUCGGCCUGUCUGAAGCGUGUUCACCAGACCGUGCCGCCUCCGUGUGUGCCACCAGCCUGGCCGACGAGAUGAACGCUGUGAUAGUGAGCCCUGCCCAGCGAGGCCGUGGGUUGGACGCAGGGGAGGCUGAAUCCGUGCUUGUGCUUUGUGCUACGCGGUGCAGCUCGUAGCAGGAUUGACUUGAUCUGUAACUGCAGUGUGCCAGGCUGGGCUGCGCCGCCAGAAGUCCUGCCUGGAGCUCCCUCAUACUGCCUGCAACUGGCUAGGAGGGAUGUGGUUCUCACCCUGCUGCUCACCCACAGCAGCCCUGAGGAAAUCCCCACGGGAAAUCGCUCUAAUCUGGAUUCUCUCUGGGGAUCAGUCAGCCUGCUGUGCUGAGGAAGACCUUGUGGGCACUGCAGGGUGGCUGUGAGAGCUUUUGCUGGGCAGAACUGUGCUGGAAUUUGCUCCUCAUUGCCCUAAGAGAGCCCUGUUUGUGCUGA